CCUACGGGAGGCAGCAGUAGGGAAUCUUCCACAAUGGGCGAAAGCCUGAUGGAGCAACGCCGCGUGGGUGAAGAAGGUCUUCGGAUCGUAAAACCCUGUUGUUAGAGAAGCAAGUGCGUGAGAGUAACUGUUCACGUUUCGACGGUAUCUACCCAGAAAGCCACGGCUAACUACGUGCCAGCAGCCGCGGUAAUACGUAGGUGGCAAGCGUUAUCCGGAUUUAUUGGGCGUAAAGGGAACGCAGGCGGUCUUUUAAGUCUGAUGUGAAAGCCUUCGGCUUAACCGGAGUAGUGCAUUGGAAACUGGGAGACUGGAGUGCAGAAGAGGAGAGUGGAACUCCAUGUGUAGCGGUGAAAUGCGUAGAUAUAUGGAAGAACACCAGUGGCGAAAGCGGCUCUCUGGUCUGUAACUGACGCUGAGGUUCGAAAGCGUGGGUAGCAAACAGGAUUAGAUACCCGAGUAGUC
rnacentral:rRNA from 1 species